CUUCUGACUCGGUCAUGUAUUACUGGUUCAAGAAGUUCAAGGAUGGGCCGAAUUCUGAGAUGGGUGGUUUUACCAGGAUCUUGCACUCUGGCAAGCCGGAUAGGUUCAUGGAUGAGAUACCUACUUUUGUUGCUCAGCCGCUUCCUUCUGGGAUGGAUCAGGGUUACAUAGUCCUUAACAGACCUUGGGCAUUUGUACAAUGGCUUCAACAAGCAGAUAUU